rnacentral:lncRNA from 1 species
CACCGUUUCAGUGGCAUUUAAAUCCCCGGCGCUCCUCCGUCUAGGUGACGUGCAGUCGGCCCCCCCAAGCAGCCCAGGCGGCGGCUGCGGCCCAGGCGGCUGCGGCGGCGGGCGCGGAGCGCUGGG